AUGACUGCCGCCGAGCUGCUCCGCUCCCAGCUCGAGGAGCACAACAUCGAGGAAGAUGAGCCUAUCCUUGAGGAUGAUGAUGACGACCAUCAAGACGAUAACGAGGAUGAGGAUGAAAUGGAUGACGAUGAUGUUGAGGGAGGUGAUGCUAGUGGAAGAUCUAGGAGUGAGAAGAAGUGCAGGAAAGCCAUGGAGAGGCUUGGCAUGAAGGCCAUUACUGGUGUGAGCCGUGUAACUAUCAAGCAGAGCAAGACCGCUACGUUUGUCCUCUCCAAGCCAGACGUCUUCAAGAGCUCGCACUCAGAAACCUAUGUCAUGUUCGGGGUGGUCAAGAUGGAGGACAUGGACGCUAAGCUGCUGACAGAAGCGGCGGGGCAGUUCAAGGCGCCGGGACCGGGCAGCGUCAUCUCAAAGGGUGAGCCGUCCGUGGCAGCAGCCCAGGACGACGAGGAGGUCGACGAGACGGGCGUUGACAACAAGGAUGUUGAGGUCGUGAUGGUGCAGGCCUCUGUGUCGAGGUCCAGGGCUGUGAAGGCGCUCAAGGCUGCAGAUGGUGACAUUGUCAGCGCCAUCGUGGAGUUGACUAACUAG
rnacentral:rRNA from 1 species